UCAUAGAGACGAGGUCCUUCAUGCUUUUAGUGCAGUUCGGCCUCCAUUUUUCGUUGGGAUAGCCCGCCGCUAUUCCUUCACAUUUCCCUCCUUCUUCUCUCUCUCUUUUUUUUUUUAGGCAAGGUUUCUCCCUAGCUUUUUACGGAGUCGCAGUAGCACAGAAGGGUCACCGAGAAGGUUUUCUUCUUUCUUGCCGGGUCUCAAAUGGUCAGACCCUAAUUGGUGUCGAGAUGAGG
rnacentral:lncRNA from 1 species